AGUCGACGAUGAAGCCCUUCGGGGUGGAUUAGUGGCGAACGGGUGAGUAACACGUGGGCAAUCUGCCCUUCACUCUGGGACAAGCCCUGGAAACGGGGUCUAAUACCGGAUAUCACUCUCGCAGGCAUCUGUGAGGGUCGAAAGCUCCGGCGGUGAAGGAUGAGCCCGCGGCCUAUCAGCUUGUUGGUGAGGUAACGGCUCACCAAGGCGACGACGGGUAGCCGGCCUGAGAGGGCGACCGGCCACACUGGGACUGAGACACGGCCCAGACUCCUACGGGAGGCAGCAGUGGGGAAUAUUGCACAAUGGGCGAAAGCCUGAUGCAGCGACGCCGCGUGAGGGAUGACGGCCUUCGGGUUGUAAACCUCUUUCAGCAGGGAAGAAGCGAAAGUGACGGUACCUGCAGAAGAAGCGCCGGCUAACUACGUGCCAGCAGCCGCGGUAAUACGUAGGGCGCAAGCGUUGUCCGGAAUUAUUGGGCGUAAAGAGCUCGUAGGCGGUCUGUCACGUCGGAUGUGAAAGCCCGGGGCUUAACCCCGGGUCUGCAUUCGAUACGGGCAGACUAGAGUGUGGUAGGGGAGAUCGGAAUUCCUGGUGUAGCGGUGAAAUGCGCAGAUAUCAGGAGGAACACCGGUGGCGAAGGCGGAUCUCUGGGCCAUUACUGACGCUGAGGAGCGAAAGCGUGGGGAGCGAACAGGAUUAGAUACCCUGGUAGUCCACGCCGUAAACGGUGGGAACUAGGUGUUGGCGACAUUCCACGUCGUCGGUGCCGCAGCUAACGCAUUAAGUUCCCCGCCUGGGGAGUACGGCCGCAAGGCUAAAACUCAAAGGAAUUGACGGGGGCCCGCACAAGCAGCGGAGCAUGUGGCUUAAUUCGACGCAACGCGAAGAACCUUACCAAGGCUUGACAUACACCGGAAACGUCUGGAGACAGGCGCCCCCUUGUGGUCGGUGUACAGGUGGUGCAUGGCUGUCGUCAGCUCGUGUCGUGAGAUG
rnacentral:rRNA from 1 species